rnacentral:lncRNA from 1 species
UUUGGUUACUUUGACCACCAUACCUUCAGUAGCCUUUGAAAUGUUUUUGUUACUAUAGCCCGAGUACACAAGAGCUCUUCUACUAGCUGUAUUGCCCUUCCAGUAGGCCUCUACACUGAGGUUUUUUGCAAAAACAGCUACUCUACUCUCUUUAGGAAUCCUACAAAACCUCUCCGACAUAUGGCCUACAAGCCCACAACACUCACAAUAUGAUGGCAACUAUUCAUAACGAACAUCAAAGUAACAUUUUUCUUUGCCGCCUAGUGGAGUGAAUUCUACUCUACUCUUGAUUUCCUCAUGUAGCGGGACUUUCACGAACACGCAAAUACUUUUCUACUAUCAUCUGAUUCUGGUGUGAGAAGGUUAUCACUUCCCCAGUUUGGCCCCUUAGAGAUGUACCCACAUCUUCAGUUUUAAGCUCAAACGGUAGGUCACGAACCUGGGCCCAAAUAGCCAUGGUUCCAAGAUCCACCUUCGCUGGGUUACCCUUGCCGUCGAACUCGGCGAAGACGAUCCCAUCACGCUUGUGGUGCCACGGCUGGGCCUUCAACACAAAGCGUCUAUCCACUUCAGCGGAGAAGUUCAGGAUGAACCUCCCGUCGUCGAUGUCCACCUCCUAGACGGUGACCUCGCCUUUCAGCCUCCAAGCCGACAAAGCACGAAGGUCAUCGACAAGGACCUGCGGGUGAACUUGGAAUGGCGACAGAAGUCGCCCUACCACCAAGAAACCCCUCACAGCCCUCCUGGCGUCCUCCAUAUCGAUGACCAACGGUGAGUCAUCCCCACAGGGCCGCCUGGACUCCUUCAUCCUCUCGCCCCCAGGUGAGGUAGCCAGAGCAAGAGAAUCGCUCCCCAUGGUCGCCGGCACACUCCCCGAUCCCUGACCCAUCUCCAUCUCCGCCUCCCCCUUCCUAUCCAUCUCCAUCUCUUCCUUACACACUAAUACAACUCGUACAAGGAAGAAACUCAAGAGGAAACCCCUCACCCCUCUGUAGUUGAUAUAGUAUACCCCCUCUUCCAGAAUCGCCACCAAUAGGACGAAAAUUGUACACUUAACGAAAAUUAAAGGAUCAUAAAUGGGCAGAUUCCAAAAUAAAAUCCCACUAAUCUCUCUAUUUUCCUUUAUUGUACAGAUGGGACUCCUUCCCUGAUUUCUCUCUUCCUCAUCCAUAUCUCCCACCGAAUAGAUUUCUCUAUAAUCCUGAACAAUAGUACUAGUUUCCAUACUACUAGCACCCAAAAUCGGACCCCCUGUCCCGGACGGGAUCUAAUCUAGCGAAUUACAACCCCUACCAUAUUUUUGUACCUCGGAUUUGUCGCUGUAGUAGUCGCCCAUCUUCACGUUCCCUGCCAGAUCAGGGAGGAUCUUCACUGGAUUCACGCGCAUCAUCUCCUCCGCUCGCCUCUUCAUUUGCUUCCAGCACCUCUUCCGGUCUGUAGAUCGCCGGAUAAUGCGCCUUGCUUCCGCCUUGACUUCUUCCCAAUCCGGCGCGCCCGCUGCGCCCCCGAUGGAAAUCCCCCUCCUAAUGGGGCCGCGAGGAUGGCAAUUCCGGUCUGUAUAUAUGUCUACUUCUAGUUGCAUAGUCCGUACAUCGUUUCGUUCGUUGGCUG